rnacentral:rRNA from 1 species
CAGUCGCCGCGGUAAUACGGAGGGAGCUAGCGUUGUUCGGAAUUACUGGGCGUAAAGCGCGCGUAGGCGGUUACUCAAGUCAGAGGUGAAAGCCCGGGGCUCAACCCCGGAACUGCCUUUGAAACUAGGUGACUAGAAUCUUGGAGAGGUCAGUGGAAUUCCGAGUGUAGAGGUGAGAUUCGUAGAUAUUCGGAAGAACACCAGUGGCGAAGGCGACUGACUGGACAAGUAUUGACGCUGAGGUGCGAAAGCGUGGGGAGCAAACAGGAUUAGAUACCCCUGUAGUCCCUGUCUCUUAUAC